rnacentral:rRNA from 1 species
GACGAACGCUGGCGGCGUGCUUAACACAUGCAAGUCGAACGGAAAGGCCCUGCUUUUGUGGGGUGCUCGAGGGGCGAACGGGAGAGUAACAUGUGAGUAACCUGCCCUUGACUUUGGGAUAACUUCAGGAAACUGGGGCUAAUACCGGAUAGGAGCUCCUGCUGCAGGGGGGGGGUUGGACAGUUUCGGCGGUUGGGGAUGGACGCGCGGCUUAUCAGCUUGUUGGUGGGGUAGUGGCUUACCAAGGCUUUGACGGGUAGCCGGCCUGGGAGGGUGGCCGGCCACAUUGGGACUGCGAUACGGCCCAGUCUCCUACGGGAGGCAGCAGUGGGGAAUAUUGCACAGUGGGCGGGCGCCUGAUGCGGCGGCGCCGCGUGCGGGAUGACGGCCUUCGGGUUGUAAACCGCUUUCGCCUGUUACGAAGCGUGAUUGACGUUAAUGGGUAAAGAAGCACCGGCUAACUACGUG